rnacentral:misc_RNA from 1 species
GAUGAAGAACGUAGCGAAAUGCGAUAAGUAAUGUGAAUUGCAGAAUUCAGUGAAUCAUCGAAUCUUUGAACGCACCUUGCGCCCUUUGGUCAUUCCGAAGGGCAUGCCUGUUUGAGUAUCAUGAACACCUCAACUCUUUAUGGUUUUCCAUGAUGAGCUUGGACUCUGGGGGUUUUGCUGGCUCACAGUCGGCUCCUCUGAAAUGAAUCAGCUUACCAGUGUUUGGUGGGUAUCAUAGGUGUGAUAACUAUCUACGCUUGUGGUUUUUCCACCAGGUAACCUUCAGCAGUGGAGGUUCGCUGGAGCUCAUAGAUGUCUCUCCUCAGUGAGGACAGCCCUUUGAAUGUUUGAUCUCAAAUCAGGUAGGACUACCCGCUGAACUUAAGCAUAUCAAUAAGCGGAGGA